rnacentral:rRNA from 1 species
GUCAGGACGAACGCUGGCGGCGUGCUUAACACAUGCAAGUCGAGCGAUGAAGCUUCUCGGAAGUGGAUUAGCGGCGGACGGGUGAGUAACACGUGGGUAACCUGCCUCAUAGAGAGGAAUAGCCUUCCGAAAGGGAGAUUAAUACCUCAUAACAUUGCAGUUUCGCAUGGAACAGCAAUUAAAGGAGCAAUCCGCUAUGAGAUGGGCCCGCGGCGCAUUAGCUAGUUGGUGAGGUAACGGCUCACCAAGGCGACGAUGCGUAGCCGACCUGAGAGGGUGAUCGGCCACAUUGGGACUGAGACACGGCCCAGACUCCUACGGGAGGCAGCAGUGGGGAAUAUUGCACAAUGGGGGAAACCCUGAUGCAAGCAACGCCGCGUGAGUGAUGACGGCCUUCGGGUUGUAAAGCUCUGUCUUCAGGGACGAUAAUGACGGUACCUGAGGAGGAAGCCACGGCUAACUACGUGCCAGCCGCAGC